rnacentral:misc_RNA from 1 species
GAUGAAGAACGUAGCGAAAUGCGAUAAGUAAUGUGAAUUGCAGAAUUCAGUGAAUCAUCGAAUCUUUGAACGCACAUUGCGCCCGCCAGUAUUCUGGCGGGCAUGCCUGUUCGAGCGUCAUUUCAACCAUCAAGCCCCGGGCUUGUGUUGGGGACCUGCGGCUGCCGCAGGCCCUGAAAACCAGUGGCGGGCUCGCUGUCACACCGGGCGUAGUAGAUUUUAUCUCGCUCAGGGCGUGCUGCGGGUUCCGGCCGUUAAAAAGCCUUUUUUACCCAAGGUUGACCUCGGAUCAGGUAGGAAGACCCGCUGAACUUAAGCAUAUCAAUAAGCGGAGGA